rnacentral:rRNA from 1 species
UACGGAGGGUGCAAGCGUUAUCCGGAUUCACUGGGUUUAAAGGGUGCGUAGGCGGUCAGCACAAGUCAGUUGUGAAAUCUCCGGGCUUAACUCGGAAAGGUCAACUGAUACUGUGCGACUAGAGUGCGGAAGGGGCAACUGGAAUUCUCGGUGUAGCGGUGAAAUGCGUAGAUAUCGAGAGGAACACCUGCGGCGAAGGCGGGUUGCUGGGCCGACACUGACGCUGAUGCGCGAAAGCCAGGGGAGCGAACGGG